rnacentral:rRNA from 1 species
UGCCGCGUGUGUGAAGAAGGCCUGCGGGUUGUAAAGCACAUUCAGUAGGGAAGAAAAGCCUGGCGCUAAUAUCGUCGGGACUUGACGUUACCUACAGAAGAAGCACCGGCUAAUUCCGUGCCAGCAGCCGCGGUAAUACGGAGGGUGCAAGCGUUAAUCGGAAUCACUGGGCGUAAAGCGCACGUAGGCGGCCGAGUAAGUCAGAUGUGAAAGCCCUGGGCUCAACCUGGGAAUUGCAUUUGAUACUGCUUGGCUCGAGUCUGGUAGA